AUGUGAAGUCGUACCUGCCCAGUGAAAUUUUAACGGCCGCGGUACUCUGACCGUGCAAAGGUAGCAUAAUAAUUUGCCUUAUAAUUGAAGGCUGGAAUGAAUGGUUUGUCAAGGAUAAAGCUGUCUCUAUAAAAUUUUUUAAAAUUUUAUCUUUAAGUGAAAAAGCUUAAAUUCUAUUAAAAGACAAGAAGACCCUAUCGAGCUUUAAAAAACUUAGUAAAUAUUUUAUGACCUAAUGGAAAUUAUAUUACAAAAAAUUUUGGUUGGGGCAACCUAGGAGCAAAAAAAGCCUCCUUUUUUUAAAAAACUAUUUUGUUAGGAUCCAAAAUCUUUGAUUAUAAGAAAUAGUUACCGUAGGGAUAACAGCAUUAUUUUUUUUAAGAGUUCUUAUCGAAAAAAAAGUUUGUGACCUCGAUGUUGGACCAGAAUAUCCUAAAGAUGUAGAAGUCUUUAAGGGUUGGUCUGUUCGACCAUUAAAAUUCUA
rnacentral:rRNA from 1 species